UACGGAGGGUGCAAGCGUUAUCCGGAAUCACUGGGUUUAAAGGGUGCGUAGGUGGGCCAGUAAGUCAGAGGUGAAAGCCCGUCGCUUAACGACGGAACUGCCUUUGAUACUGUUGGUCUUGAAUCAGGUUGAGGUAUGCGGAAUGUGGCAUGUAGCGGUGAAAUGCGUAGAUAUGCCAUAGAACACCGAUUGCGAAGGCAGCAUACUAGCCCUUGAUUGACGCUGAGGCACGAAAGCGUGGGGAGCGAACAGG
rnacentral:rRNA from 1 species